GCACAAGCGGUGGAUCAUGUUGUUAAUUCGAUGAUACGCGAAGAACCUUACCAGGUCUUGACAUCCCCGGCGAUGCUUUAGAGAUAAAGCGGAGGUAUUCGGGGAGACAGGUGGUGCAUGGUUGUCGUCAGCUCGUGUCGUGAGAUGUUGGGUUAAGUCCCGCAACGAGCGCAACCCUAUUGCUAGUUACCAUCAUUAAGUUGGGGACUCUAGCGAGACUGCCAGUGAUAAACUGGAGGAAGGUGGGGAUGACGUCAAAUCAUCAUGCCCCUUAUGACCUGGGCUACAAACGUGAUACAAUGGCUGGAACAAAGGGAUGCGAAGCAGUGAUGUGGAGCGAAGCCCAUAAAAACAGUCUCAGUUCGGAUUGAAGUCUGCAACUCGACUUCAUGAAGUCGGAAUCGCUAGUAAUCGCGGAUCAGAACGCCGCGGUGAAUACGUUCUCGGGGUUU
rnacentral:rRNA from 1 species